CCUAAAUGAUUUGCACUUUGAAAUAAAUAAUUUUUGUCAAAUCUUUUAGGAGAAUACUAAGACAUCAUUAAAUAACAUCAAUGACGCUGUUACAAUUGUGGUACAGGAAUCAAUUUAAAAAAAUUUGUAAUAUGCUUUUAGGAACUUACAGAAAGUUUACUUAACUAUUAGAAUUCACUUACUUGGCAUAGAUUGUUGCAGUGAUUUUUGAUUCCUUAAAUGUAAAAUGUUUAGGAGCAUCAAUUAUCACUUCAAAAUUAGGUACCUAAAACUGGGUACUCAGACAAUUCGAUUUCUGCAUUAAAAAUUCCAUGGGUUACAGAUGGAUGAUUCCAUUGUUUAAUUCUAUUUCCUUUACCAUCCUAUAAAAAUGUAAUGUAAAUUAAAAAAUUUGUCUUAUUUGUUACAUACACUGUAUUUAUUUAAAAAUACUUACUACAAUAUAGAUGUUUACUAAUCUUUCAAGUGUUGGCCUAAGUCUGGAGUCCAACAAAAUACAUCGAAACAUAACUUUAUUUCCCGGUUUAUAAAUUGCUCUAUCAGUUUGAAUAAAAACUGAAUAACUUUUAGGAAUAAAUUCUAU